UAAGUACAUGAUUACAUAUGAUUGUGCUUCUUUGAUAUUUCAGACGAAUCAAUUCUUCAUUCUGGUCCUGAUUGGCUACUCAUAAUCAUAGUGGUCGUUUGCUCUCUGGUUACGGUUGCGUUAAUAUUGGCUUUCAUUCUCUGCUUAAGAAAAUGGAAGCAGUCAAUACGUGACAUCGACAAGGGUACACAGUCUAUAGCCAGUAACCCAAGGCAAAAUCAAUGGGCCGAAGAGUGUCCGUAUGGAGAAC